UUAACAUGAAUCUCACAUUUACCUGUUACUUUAAACAUUCACGGAUACUUAACAUCCAACUUUCUUUUAUAAUCGGGUACUUAACACCCUUCUAACAUUUAAGGGUACUUAACACCCUUUUAACUUUACUAUGCAAUAUGCAAUAUGCAACUUUUAGACUUCUAGACUUUUCAUGAAAUAAUGCAUGAGAAAACAUUGGGCCCGUUUGGAAAAACAAUCGUGGAGUUCGGCAAUAAGCCGUGUGUUUUGGAGCUUGUGAUCUAUAACUUUACUAUAGUCACGACUAUAACUUUACUAUAGCCGAGUUAGUGGUUUAUA
rnacentral:lncRNA from 1 species